rnacentral:rRNA from 1 species
GACAGAGGGUGCAAACGUUGUUCGGAAUUACUGGGCGUAAAGCGCGUGUAGGCUGCUCGGAAAGUCGGAUGUGAAAGCCCUGGGCUUAACCUAGGAAGUGCAUUCGAAACUUCCGAGCUGGAGUUCUGGAGAGGAAGGCGGAAUUCUCGGUGUAGAGGUGAAAUUCGUAGAUAUCAGGAGGAACACCGGUGGCGAAGGCGCCACUCUGGGCCGAAACUGACGCUGAGGAGCGAAAGCGUGGGUAGCAAACAGG